rnacentral:rRNA from 1 species
GCUAGUCGCGCGGGUUAGACCCGCGGCAUAUAGCUCAGUAACACGUGGCCAAACUACCCUAUGGACAGGGACAACCUCGGGAAACUGAGGCUAAUCCCUGAUACAGCUCUCACGCUGGAGUGCCGAGAGCUGGAAACGUCCUGGCGCCAUAGGAUGUGGCUGCGGCCGAUUAGGUAGAUGGUGGGGUAACGGCCCACCAUGCCAAUAAUCGGUACGGGUUGUGAGAGCAAGAGCCCGGAGACGGUAUCUGAGACAAGAUACCGGGCCCUACGGGGCGCAGCAGGCGCGAAACCUUUACACUGCACGACAGUGCGAUAAGGGGACUCCAAGUGCGAGGGCAUAUAGUCCUCGCUUUUCUGUACCGUAGGGAGGUACAGGAACAAGUGCUGGGCAAGACCGGUGCCAGCCGCCGCGGUAAUACCGGCAGCACGAGUGAUGGCCGAUAUUAUUGGGCCUAAAGCGUCCGUAGCCGGCCAAACAAGUCCGUUGGGAAAUCGACGCGCUCAACGCGUCGGCGUCCGGCGGAAACUGUUUGGCUUGGGGCCAGAAGAUCUGAGGGGUACGUCCGGGGUAGGAGUGAAAUCCUGUAAUCCUGGACGGACCACCGGUGGCGAAAGCGCCUCAGAAAGAUGGACCCGACGGUGAGGGACGAAAGCUAGGGUCUCGAACCGGAUUAGAUACCCGGGUAGUCCUAGCUGUAAACGAUGCUCGCUAGGUGUGCCACA